rnacentral:rRNA from 1 species
CCUACGGGUGGCAGCAGUGGGGGAUAUUGCACAAUGGGGGAAACCCUGAUGCAGCGACGCCGCGUGAGUGAAGAAGUAUUUCGGUAUGUAAAGCUCUAUCAGCAGGGAAGAAAAUGACAGUACCUGACCACGAAGCCCCGGCUAACUACGUGCCAGCAGCCGCGGUAAUACGUCGGGGGCAAGCGUUAUCCGGAUGUACUGGGUGUAAAGGGAGCGUAGGUGGGUAUGUAAGUCUGGAGUGCAAGCCCGGGGGCCAACCCCGGGACUGCUUUGGAAACUGUGGAACUGGAGUACAGGAGGGGCAGGCGGAAUGCCUGGUGUAGCGGUGAAAUGCGUAGAUAUCAGGAGGAACACCGGCGGCGAAGGCGGCCUACUGGACUGAAACUGACGUUGAGGCUCGAAAGCGUGGGGAGCAAACAGGAUUAGAUACCCCUGUAGUC